UACGUAGGGUGCGAGCGUUAAUCGGAAUUACUGGGCGUAAAGCGUGCGCAGGCGGUUUUGUAAGCCAGAUGUGAAAGCCCCGGGCUUAACCUGGGAAUGGCAUUUGGGACUGCAAGGCUGGAGUGUGGCAGAGGAGACUGGAAUUCCUGGUGUAGCAGUGAAUGCGUAGAUAUCAGGAGGAAUACCGAUGGCGAAGGCAGGUCUCUGGGCUGACACUGACGCUCAUGCACGAAAGCGUGGGAGCGAA
rnacentral:rRNA from 1 species